rnacentral:lncRNA from 1 species
GAAGCUGAGAGGAAGUGGGGGUUCUGCAGUCACCACAAAAUGUGAAUCCCACAUCAGAGGAAUAUACAGGAUGAUCCACAGAUAAGGAAUCUACAGUCGGCAAAUGGAAGAGGGUGACGGCGCUAGAAACUCAGUUGAGCAGCCCCAAACUAUCCAGAAUGUACACAUAGUAACAACACAGGAAGGGCAGUCUACUCAUCCUUCUGGGAGCCGGAGAACUGCUGCCGAACACCCGGCCGUGGAUUCCCCAUUGCUACCCCAGGUUCCUGUAGGCGAGAAUGUUACUGGGGAGCGAGCGCAAUGCUCUGCGAGAGGAGAACCAGCUAUACAUCUUCCCCCACCCAUUCAGGAUUCGACGCUGGCAACAUGUCAGCACAUUGUUGGUCUCCUUGGACAAAUCACUGAUCAGCAGGACAGCAUCAUGAGAGAACUGCGGGUCAUGCGCAGAGAGAUGCGGCUUUUGAAAGGUGAACAGCGCCGGACCACUGCCAG